rnacentral:rRNA from 1 species
CUACGUAGGGGGCGAGCGUUGUCCGGAAUGACUGGGCGUAAAGGGCGUGUAGGCGGUUGCCUAAGGCUGGAGUGAAAGUCCUGCUUUCAAGGUGGGAAUAGCUUUGGAUACUGGAUGACUUGAGUGCGGAAGAGGUAAGUGGAAUUCCCAGUGUAGCGGUGAAAUGCGUAGAGAUUGGGAGGAACACCAGUGGCGAAGGCGGGUAACUGGACUGCAACUGACGCUGAGGCGCGAAAGUGUGGGGAGCAAACAGGAUUAGAUACCCUGGUAGUCCACGCUGUAAACGAUGAAUGCUAGGUGUAAGAGGUAUCGACCCCUUUUGUGCCGGAGUCAACACAAUAAGCAUUCCGCCUGGGGAGUACGGCCGCAAGGUUGAAACUCAAAGGA